rnacentral:rRNA from 1 species
GAUCAUGGCUCAGAUUGAACGCUGGCGGCAGGCUUAACACAUGCAAGUCGAACGGGUAACAUAAAGAAGCUUGCUUCUUUGAUGACGAGUGGCGGACGGGUGAGUAAUGCUUGGGAAUCUAGCUUAUGGAGGGGGAUAACUACGGGAAACUGUAGCUAAUACCGCGUAAUAUCGAAAGAUUAAAGUGUGGGACCUUCGGGCCACAUGCCAUAGGAUGAGCCCAAGUGGGAUUAGGUAGUUGGUGG